CCUACGGGAGGCAGCAGUGAGGAAUAUUGGUCAAUGGACGAGAGUCUGAACCAGCCAAGUAGCGUGAAGGAUGACUGCCCUAUGGGUUGUAAACUUCUUUUAUAUGGGAAUAAAAUGAUCCACGUGUGGGAUUUUGUAUGUACCAUAUGAAUAAGGAUCGGCUAACUCCGUGCCAGCAGCCGCGGUAAUACGGAGGAUCCGAGCGUUAUCCGGAUUUAUUGGGUUUAAAGGGAGCGUAGGUGGAUGGUUAAGUCAGUGGUGAAAGGUUGCGGCUCAACCGUAAAAUUGCAGUUGAUACUGUCAGUCUUGAGUGCAGUAGAGGUAGGCGGAAUUCGUGGUGUAGCGGUGAAAUGCUUAGAGAUCACGCAGAACUCCGAUUGCGAAGGCAGUUCACUGGACUGCAACUGACACUGAGGCUCGAAAGUGUGGGUAUCAAACAGGAUUAGAUACCCCAGUAGUC
rnacentral:rRNA from 1 species